GAUGAACGCUGGCGGCGUGCCUAAUACAUGCAAGUCGAGCGAACGGACGAGGAGCUUGCUUUUCUGAUGUUAGCGGCGGACGGGUGAGUAACACGUGGAUAACCUACCUAUAAGACUGGGAUAACUUCGGGAAACCGGAGCUAAUACCGGAUAAUAUUUUGAACCGCAUGGUUCAAAAGUGAAAGACGGUCUUGCUGUCACUUAUAGAUGGAUCCGCGCUGCAUGAGCUAGUUGGUAAGGUAACGGCUUACCAAGGCAACGAGGCAUAGCCGACCUGAGGGGGUGAUCGCCCACACGGGCAGUGAGACUGGGCCGCGACUCUGGCGGGAGGCCACAGCAGGGAAUCCUCCGGGAUGGGGCAGAGCCUAACAGUGCAACGCCGGGUGAAGCAUGAAGGUGUUAGGAUCGGAAAACUAUGUUAUUCUGGGAGAACUAAUGUGUAAGUAACUGUGCACAUCUUGACAGUACCUAGUCAGAAAGCCACGGCUAACUCCGUG
rnacentral:rRNA from 1 species